UACGAAGGGGGCUAGCGUUGCUCGGAAUCACUGGGCGUAAAGCGCACGUAGGCGGCUUGUUAAGUCAGGGGUGAAAUCCUGGAGCUCAACUCCAGAACUGCCUUCGAUACUGGCGACCUUGAGUCCGGGAGAGGUGAGUGGAACUCCGAGUGUAGAGGUGAAAUUCGUAGAUAUUCGGAAGAACACCAGUGGCGAAGGCGGCUCACUGGCCCGGUACUGACGCUGAGGUGCGAAAGCGUGGGGAGCAAACAGG
rnacentral:rRNA from 1 species